ensembl:lncRNA MAFTRR MAF transcriptional regulator RNA
GGCGCGGCGUCGCGGAGCUCGGGCCGGUGGAAGGUUUACCUGCUAGGCUCGUCCCACCUGUGUGGAGCUCCCAUCGCCCUCCAGCGUUGCGCAGCCUGAAGGGACAGGACGGACAAGCGGGUGCCUCCUUCUAAUUCAUCUUCACCAUUGUGGUUGUCAAUAUGGCAUGCAGAAUUAUCCCUCUUUCCAGCUUCUGGAGUCUACCUGGAUUCCUGGGCUCAUGGCCCCUUCCUCCAUCUUCAAACCAGCAAUGGUGAGUUGAGUCUUUUUCACAUCACAUCUCUCUGUGAUCAUCUUCUGCCCUCUCCUCCAUUUUUAAAAACCUUUGUCGUUAGAUUGGACCUGCCUGAAUAAUCCAGGAUAAUCUUCCUAUUUUAAAUUGAGUAGAUGAACAACCUUAAUUUCAUCUGCCAUCUUAAUUCUUUGCCAAGGAAAGUAACAUAGUCACAGGUUCUGAAGAUUAGGGCAUGGAAAUCUUGGAAAAAGGGCACCAUUUUGCCUACUGUGAUUUCCAACUUAUCCUAUGAAGUAAAUCAUACCACGUAAAUUCCAAAUGCAAAGGAGUUCUUUUCCAUCUGUUUUUCUACAAAGAAAAACAACUGAAAUUGGCUUCAUACAACAAUUACAUGACUAAACUUCCAGUUAUAAAUUUAUAGUAGAAAGAGAAAGGUGUUUUCUGAUAAUGCAUUUUGGUUAAGAGCCAAAGAGUCUUCACUAAACAUUUGCUGAAAAUACUGUUAUAAACAAUGACUAUUAAAGUUAAAUAGUCAUCAAGUUAAGUAAAAUUCAAUUUAACUUAAAUAUUUAUUAGGAGUGAAAGCCAACAUAAAUGUUGAAAACUCAAAUCCUUAUUUCUCAACUGCCUCCUCAUUUUUCCACAAUGUAUUUCUGGCUGUUCGGAGGUAAUUUCCUAGGUUUUAUUAACCUGUAACAGAAGCAGUUUACAGCUGAAUCCAUGCCAGAGAAAAACUCAUUUGCAACCCGAUGUCGCAGCAUCCAGGGCCAAAGGGAUUGAAAGAAAAAAAAAAAGCAUGAACUCAGAAAA